GAUACGGUGGACGAAGUGAUGCGCACCAAAAUGGGGUUGGAUUGCGGAGGCGAUGAUUCGUCAGAUUCGGCGAAGGAGGCGGAGGAGCUCUGGGAGGAAAUGGAGCAGC
rnacentral:SRP_RNA from 1 species